GAAAGCAAGAAGAGGCGCCCGCUUCUCACCUGAUCGGCAAUUGUGCUGGCAGGUUACGACUUAAUUCCAAACAUCAAUUGGAGUGUGGGCGCACGUAUGUGCCCACACUUUUUUAUGUCG
rfam:Bacillus beveridgei strain MLTeJB, complete genome.